UACGAAGGGGGCUAGCGUUGCUCGGAAUCACUGGGCGUAAAGGGUGCGUAGGCGGGGCUUUAAGUCAGGGGUGAAAUCCUGGAGCUCAACUUCGGAACUGCCUUUGAUACAGCACGUCUUGAGUCCGAUAGAGGUGGGUGGAAUUCCUAGUGUAGAGGUGAAAUUCGUAGAUAUUAGGAAGAACACCGGUGGCGAAGGCGGCCCACUGGAUCGGUACUGACGCUGAGGUGCGAAAGCGUGGGGAGCAAACAGG
rnacentral:rRNA from 1 species